rnacentral:rRNA from 1 species
CCUGAGAAACGGCUACCACAUCCUAGGAAGGCAGCAGGCGCGCAAAUUACCCACUCCCGGCACGGGGAGGUAGUGACGAAAAAUAACGAUACGGGACUCAUCCCAGGCCCCGUAAUCGGAAUGAGUACACUUUAAAUCCUUUAACGAGUAUCUAUUGGAGGGCAAGUCUGGUGCCAGCAGCCGCGGUAAUUCCAGCUCCAAUAGCGUAUAUUAAAGUUGUUGCGGUUAAAAAGCUCGUAGUUGGAUUUGUGUCCCACGCUGUUGGUUCACCGCCCGUCGGUGUUUAACUGGCAUGUAUCGUGGGACGUCCUGCCGGUGGGGCGAGCCGAAGGCGCGCGGCCGCCUUGCGCGUGCCCGUGCGUCCCGAGGCGGACCCCGUUGAAAUCCUACCGCGGUGCUCUUUACCGAGUGUCGAGGUGGGCCGGCACGUUUACUUUGAACAAAUUAGAGUGCUUAAAGCAGGCAAGCCCNCCUGAAUACUGUGUGCAUGGAAUAAUGGAAUAGGACCUCGGUUCUAUUUUGUUGGUUUUCGGAACCCGAGGUAAUGAUUAAUAGGGACAGGCGGGGGCAUUCGUAUUGCGACGUUAGAGGUGAAAUUCUUGGACCGUCGCAAGACGAAGCGAAGCGAAAGCAUUUGCCAAGUAUGUUUUCAUUAAUCAAGAACGAAAGUUAGAGGUUCGAAGGCGAUCAGAUACCGCCCUAGUUCUAACCAUAAUCGAUGCCAGCCAGCGAUCCGCCGCAGUUCCUCCGAUGACUCGGCGGGCAGCCUCCGGGAAACCAAAGCUUUUGGGUUCCGGGGGAAGUAUGGUUGCAAAGCUGAAACUUAAAGGAAUUGACGGAAGGGCACCACCAGGAGUGGAGCCUGCGGCUUAAUUUGACUCAACACGGGAAACCUCACCAGGCCCGGACACCGGAAGGAUUGACAGAUUGAUAGCUCUUUCUUGAUUCGGUGGGUGGUGGUGCAUGGCCGUUCUUAGUUGGUGGAGCGAUUUGUCUGGUUAAUUCCGAUAACGAACGAGACUC